rnacentral:sRNA from 1 species
AGCCGCAUCGGUUUGAUCGGGAGACUCAUCAAUAAUAACAAGAAAACCGAGAAAGUUUCGCUUUCCAAUGGCGGGCUGCGCCCUUCGGGGUAACCUCUUCACGGAGGCCGGCAGAUUACAAAGGGAGCGGGCACUCAAAUCAUUCAUACUCGGAGUUCUCAUCACAAUCACCGAUGCGGUUUUUU